GACGCCGCCGCACCGGCAUCCCCCACCAACGCCGGCGCCCCAUCCCUAUUCAGGCGGCCGCAGCAACAACCCUGCGGACACACCUACCACCUACGGCCCCCUGUUUCGCCCCUCACACAGCAGCACCACAUCUCCUCAGUACCUGCUCCAUACUGCGUAUCACAUCCUAUCCAUUUGCACUCCCCACAAAUCAGUGGGAGGACGUGCCCAUCUGAAGCAGCAGUAGCAGCAGAACAAGUAGCUACAGCACCGCUUACCUCUGUUUGUGCUCCCCCAGUUUCUGAAGAGGUCUAGGUUCGCAAGUGGAGGUAUCCAACUUACAGCCAUAAAUAAUCGAACAAGUACCACUUCAUGGUUAUGGUGAGAUUCUUGAUCCUAGUUGAAGAGUUAAAUUGGUACUUCCAUCGCGUGGUAUCAUUUGACUACAUUUGGAAUAUCUCGUAAUUUGUUUUCAAUCAUUGCAUGGUUGUAUCAUAUGGUGGUAAAAUAUAUUAUGGUGUGAUAAUGGAAAUUCUGGAAUUGGACUAUCACCACAAAGGAUAUAUUGCUCUUUUGAAUGUGAUUGGUUUGACAACCGUAUACACGACAAAAUGGCAAACAGAGGAGGAUGAGCUGAUGUUGCUAUGCAUGAAGAUUUGCGAACAGGGAAUGUAAGACAUGUCAUAGAAAGGUUGCAUGAAUUCAUUCCAAGUCUUGCGUGGACAAAACAAGAAGACAAAGGUGACGGCGGCCUUUGUGUGUUGAUACAUCUUUGCAGAUGUAUGAAGCUAUUUAACAACAAGUUGUGCUUAUCUGUAGGAAAGGCAACGCAUCAAAUCAGUCAUCUGUCAAAAUGCCUAGAUGCCGACUAAGAUCUGAGAUAAUAUCACUUACAAAGCAUGACUGGAGGACAUGGCUGCUGAAAACCUGAAUGAUCAUGUGAUAGAAGUUGAUAGUAAAGUAUGCAGAAGCUACCCUCACAGCCGGAAGCAGUCCCCGCAUCUAUGAGGUAUUACAUAUUCUUAGAAUUCUGUAAUAUUAGACUAAAGACAAGUUAAUUUUGUUUUCAUUAUCGUCUGGACAAUGUGUAUAUGAGCUAGCUCUUCCAAAAUUUAUAUCUUGUGGAUCCCUCGUAUGUUAGGGUCUUGUGGAUGCUACUUUUCUUUAUCUAUAAAGCAGGGCUAUGGCCUGA